rnacentral:rRNA from 1 species
CCUGACGACGCAACGCCGCGUGGAGGAUGAAGGUCUUCGGAUUGUAAACUCCUGUUGCCCGGGACGAAACGCUCCGACCUAACACGUCGGAGUCUGACGGUACCGGGUGAGGAAGCCCCGGCUAACUCUGUGCCAGCAGCCACGGUAAUACAGAGGGGGCUAGCGUUGUUCGGAAUUACUGGGCGUAAAGGGCGCGUAGGUGGCCUGUUAAGUCGAACGUGAAAUCCCCGGGCUCAACCCGGGAACUGCGUCCGAGACUGGCAGGCUCGAAUCCGGGAGAGGGAUGUGGAAUUCCAGGUGUAGCGGUGAAAUGCGUAGAUAUCUGGAGGAACACCGGUGGCGAAGGCGGCAUCCUGGACCGGUAUUGACGCUGAGGCGCGAAAGCCAGGGGAGCAAACGGGAUUAGAUACCCCGGUAGUCCUGGCCCUAAACGAUGAAUGCUUGGUGUGGCGGGUAUCGAUCCCUGCCGUGCCGAAGCUAACGCAUUAAGCAUUCCGCCUGGGGAGUACGGUCGCAAGGCUG